GCGAAAGGAAGUUCACUGUAGAGGUUACUUACUGAGUGUAAAUCACUCAUCCUAUCACCUCGGGGAAGGUCUGAGACAAGAGCCAAUCGCUGUCUUCACAGGACAUCAUCUGAACAGAUGAGCGAGCGCACAGGAAAGAUGGGUCAGAACGCGGAGCUAACGCACGAGACGUUGGAAAUGCAGAAUAGCGAGCCAGCUGACGCGAUCCCCGUUGACUUGGAAACGCUCGCGGCUGGCGCAAUGAGUUCAAUGUGUGAACUGGCACGAGAUGCUAGAACCCAAUUCAGACUACUCUCCUAUCGC
rnacentral:RNase_P_RNA from 1 species